rnacentral:rRNA from 1 species
CCGCAUAUUCUUUAGACCGCAUGUUCUGAGAAGAAAGACGGCUUCGGCUGUCGCUCAUGGAUGAUCCGCGGCGUAUUAGUUAGUUGGUGGGGUAAAGGCCUACCAAGACAAUGAUACGUAGCCGACCUGAGAGGGUGAUCGGCCACACUGGGACUGAGACACGGCCCAGACUCCUACGGGAGGCAGCAGUAGGGAAUCUUCCACAAUGGGUGCAAACCUGAUGGAGCAAUGCCGCGUGAAUGAAGAAGGUCUUCGGAUCGUAAAGUUCUGUUAUUAGAGAAGAACAAAUCGAGGAGUAACUGUCUCGAUUUUGACGGUACCUAACCAGAAAGUCACGGCUAACUACGUGCCAGCAGCCGCGGUAAUACGUAGGUGACAAGCGUUGUCCGGAAUUAUUGGGCGUAAAGGGAGCGCAGGCGGUUGAAAUAGUCUGAUGUGAAAGCCCACGGCUUAACCGUGGAAUGUCAUUGGAAACUGUUCAACUUGAAUGCAGAAGAGGUAAGUGGAAUUCCAUGUGUAGCGGUGAAAUGCGUAGAUAUAUGGAGGAACACCAGUGGCGAAGGCGACUUACUGGUCUGUGAUUGACGCUGAGGCUCGAAAGCGUGGGUAGCAAA